CCUGCGAGGCGCUGAUGCUAGCACAGUUAGCCUGGUUAGCCGCAGCAGGCCUCUGCCACGUGUUGCUUAGUGCGGGUUUAGAUUAGCUGGGCUCGGUCUCGUCCCAUCGCAGUGUGAUGAUUCUAAUGUUGGUAGGGACAUCUGAUGACUGUGAGGAAACGCCAACUCUCUGACCGCAUGGGACACCGAGACACAAAGAGGCCGUUUCUCUGCAGAGCUCCUGCUGCCUAGCUUCAGGACUCGUCCGCUACGUCGCCUCAAAAUGAAGCUGAACAGCACGUGGCUCCAACGGGGGUCUCCAGGCGUUUGGACUCGUCCAAUGCAUCCCUGGUCGAAGUCUGAUGAUGAAGUGUGAAGAAGAUGUGGAUGAUGAGGUGUGAUCACACUGACUGAAUUCACUCACCAUUCACGGCAUUCAAUGAGAUGGUCUCGUGUUUGUGGGUCUGGUCAGAACGCUCCCGGAUGAGCUACUGGAACUUGUCUGGCUACAGAAUGCUAUGACAUGUGACGUCUCCGCCGCCUAAAGUUCCAGCCUUGUUGAUCCAAUGGGACCAUGGGCCAUUGGGUGCACACGCUGUCACACAAACAAUGUUGUGAUCCCUCUGAGGUCCGACUGAACGGCCAAGACGAGGUGGACUGAGGAAAAGGCUGCAUCUCUUGGGCUGAACUUGAUUCUGUGCUAUACUGAAGACUGAGUUUGACCUGCAGACAAUUGAAUAUCUCUCGGCAUGUGUGUUUUCAACAAUGUUGCAAUAAAAAAACAAACAAAA